GAUGAACGCUGACAGCAUGCUUAAUACAUGCAAGUCGUUCGCAAAGUCGCGCAUGCGCAGUCUCUCCAAGGCGGACGGGUGAGUAACGCGUAAGGAACUUACCCUGCAGACAGGGAUAACAGACCGAGAGGACACAUAACACCAGAUAUUGUCAUGCUGGCGCAUGCCGGUUUCAUGAAAGGAGACGCUUCAGGAGAGCGUUGCGUCCUAUUAGCUAAUUGGCGGGGUAACGGCCCACCAUGGCGAUGAUAGGUAGCCGGCCUGAGAGGGUGAACGGCCACAAGGCGACGGGGAGACGGCCGUUGCUACUUCGGGAGGCAGCAGUAAGGAAUAUUGGACAAUGGGGGCAGCCCUGAUCAAGCAAUUCUGUGGGCACAAAGAAGGUUUUCGGAAUGAAAAGUGCUGUCAGCAAGGAUGAAGAAAGUGACGGUACCUAAACAGAAAGCGACGGCUAAAUACGUG
rnacentral:rRNA from 1 species